CACACAUUCACGUUUCUGAGCAUACAAAUUACUUAGUGAAGUGUUAGUAAUACGUCACGGAAGAGAACAUUCAAUGAGAUGGUAGAAUUUUGUUUUAGGUUUUACUUGCCGGUUACAAAACGAGCAUAAGCACUUUUGUAUAAAAUUUGAUUGUAAAUGAAAACUAAGAAUAAAUUAUUUGUGUAGGGAUAAAAAGUGCUAUAAUAAGCCAUUCAAGCAAAUUUAGUGCUGCACUUAAAAAAACUAUACCCAAUCUCAAAUAAGUUCAAGUAGCAAAUAAUAGAAAUUUAAAAAUCGCAGUUACAUACAUACAUAUACGUAUAAAUAUGUCCGCUACAUUUGUACGCUCAUGGGAGUAGAACAAUCUAAUUUUUCCCAAGUGACAGAUUUGUUUUUAACUUUCACGUUACUUACCUUUCGCGCUUCCUAAGUCUCUUUCCACUCUGUUUCGUUAGUAUUAAACAAGUUUUUAUAGUAAAUAAAAGUUAAUUAUUAUAGCUGAACAAGGUAUAUUAAGUUUGUCAUGUAAUCACGUAAUUUGUAAGACCCAGAGGGAAAAGUCGGGUACCCAAUUAUAUAUACGAAUAUGUACAUACAUAUGUGUGUAUAUAAAUUAUCAGCGUUACGUGCUGAGUCGAUUUAUGUUCGUCUGAGCCUCAGUUUUGCUCAUUUGUCGGAACUGUCGCUAUCAAACUAGCGUAUAACUAUAUGCUAUAAAAACUGAACGAUCAAACUAUUGCCCUGGUAUGGAAAAUUUUAUUUGACAAAAUAUCAUCACGGAAUUUCGCAAAGUAUAUUAUUUAAGGCAGGACUACAGCAUAAAGCUGUCAUACAAAUUGUCCGUAUUUGCUGUUUUCCUUAAACAAUCAAUAACAGUACAACUUUUCUAUACUUAAAUGAAUUUAUUAUAUUUUCAUCAGAUUGUUUUAAUUACUUUUAGUUUAUAGAAUAACAAUUUUAAAACGAACUCCAGUGCGCUGAUAUGAGUGUGCAAGUGCCUUAAUAUCUUCCUGCAUAUUGAUUCGAGUUCACUCGCACCGACUCUGGUGCAAUUUAAUUCAAAUGAUUUGAAUAAUCUAAUUAAAGAAUGUUAUUUAUAAUGCCUAUAAAUAUAAGUAUAUUUAAUUUUAAUUGCUGCAUCAGCUGAGUUCAACAGUGAAUAAUAUAUUUAGUAAAUAUGCACUUCAAGUUUUUAAUAAAUUUAAAGGAAUUGACUACAUACAAUAUAAUUUAUU